rnacentral:lncRNA from 1 species
GUUGAAUGGAUUCAUGACGGCAUUUAGUCCUGUCGGGAGUUUUGCUAGACAGUUUGUGUCCUUGACGCAGCAGCAAAACUUGAACAGCAUGCGGAGCACCACACUGGUGCAGGUCAUGAUAAACCUGACGCUCGCCGAGCUCGCUGCGCCGUUCAAGCAGAAUUCCAGCCAACAGCUGGUCCCUUUUGACCCCAUGAACGUUAACGACUGGUUCACACAUGUGGUUUCUCCCGUACUCCGGCGAUUCCUUCCUCCCGGCCAGAUAGAAAUCCACCCCAACCUCACGGCUGUCUUCCAUAACCAGUUCUACAUUGAGACGGGGAUGGGAGCUGGAGCCCAGAAUGAAAGUCAGGACAUCUGCAGUGUCUUUAUUGAUAAUAGAACGUGUGGGCUGACGGACCUGGUAGAACAUGUGGCCACUGUCCUGCACUGUGCAGCACGCUCAAACCUCACGCUCAAUGAGGAGACGCUCCUGAAUGUCCUCCUGCAUCUCUCCCAGAACCUCAACGCUCUGCUGCAGCAGCUCUCCAUGACUAACUUCAGUUCCCAGAGUUCCCCCUUCAGUGACCUCCUGGACCAAAUGGUUCAUGACACCUUCACGAUGAGCAACUUGCAGGAUGAGUCGUUUGUGAGAUUAUGGUUCCAGAUCAAGUUAAAGCCUCUUCUCUCCACACUGACUCCAGAAUAUCUCACAUGCCUCAGUCACAAAGAGUUCAGCUGCCAAACCUUCCAGAUA